rnacentral:rRNA from 1 species
GGUCAAGUUAUUAAGGGUGCAGGGCGGAUGCCUUGGCACUAGGAGCCGAUGAAGGACGUGAUAAGCUGCGAUAAGCUUCGGGGAGUUGCACGUAAACUUUGAUCCGAAGAUUUCCGAAUGAGGAAACUCACUUAGAAUAAUGUCUAAGUAUCAUUAAGUGAAUACAUAGCUUAAUGAGGGGAACUCAGGGAACUGAAACAUCUAAGUACCUGAAGGAAGAGAAAGAAAUUCGAUUCCGUAAGUAGCGGCGAGCGAACGCGGAUUAGCCCAAACCAAUGAAGUUUUCUUUAUUGGGGUUGUGGACAUAUCAUAACGAAGAGGUAUCGUAAUUGAAGAGGUUUGGAAAGACCCACCACAGAAGGUAAUAGUCCUGUAUGUUAAACGAGAAGACUU